CAUGCAAGUCGAGCGGGGUAUGGGGGCAACCUCAUAUUCAGCGGCGGACGGGUGAGUAAUGCAUCGGAACGUAUCCCGUAGUGGGGACAACCCAGCGAAAGCUGGGCUAAUACCGCAUAUGCUCUGAGGAGGAAAGCAGGGGACCUGGAAGGGCCUUGUGCUAUGGGAGCGGCCGAUGUCCGAUUAGCUGGUUGGUGGGGUAAAGGCUUACCAAGGCGACGAUCGGUAGCUGGUCUGAGAGGAUGAUCAGCCACACUGGGACUGAGACACGGCCCAGACUCCUACGGGAGGCAGCAGUGGGGAAUUUUGGACAAUGGGGGCAACCCUGAUCCAGCCAUGCCGCGUGCGGGAAGAAGGCCUUCGGGUUGUAAACCGCUUUUGGCCGGGAAGAAAAGGCUCUGGCUAAUACCCGGGGCUAUUGACGGUACCGGCAGAAUAAGCACCGGCUAACUACGUGCCAGCAGCCCGCGGUAAUACGUAGGGUGCGAGCGUUAAUCGGAAUUACUGGGCGUAAAGCGUGCGCAGGCGGUUGGUUAAGUCUGAUGUGAAAGCCCCGGGCUCAACCUGGGAAUGGCAUUGGAAACUGGCUUACUGGAGUGUGGCAAAAGGGGGGUGGAAUUCCCCGUGUAGCAAUGAAAUGCGUAAAGAUGCGGA
rnacentral:rRNA from 1 species